UGUAAGAAAAGCAAUGUUCUGAUUUAAAUUGAAGCCUCCCAUACCCCCAGCAGGAAAAUGUCUGUAUUAACUGCAGCUCUGCUUGUAACAAAUGCCAGCUACACAUUUAUCAAAAUUUUUAAAGUAGUGAGCACAUGAGUUGUGUUCGGAGAGUUUGAAUGAAAUCUGAGUCGUGCUGUGUCUCUGGCAUUUGAGAGAGAGAGAGAGAAAGCAGAGAGGGAGAAAGACCGGUCCCUGGGGCUGCUGAUUAGGGCACUCGCUGGAUAUAGGAAGGAGGAAGCAAGAUUGGAGUGCCUGCGCCAAAACAUGUGUUAGUAUUUUAUCUUAAAAGUUCACUGAAGAAAUGUUUGGCAUCUUCAUAUUCCACAACUCACAGAGGGAUUUGAACUCUUGCACGAAGACCAAAAUUUGCAUCGAGGCUGAGAGCCCUGGCUGAAAGCAGGGGUCCCCGGAGCAAGCACGGGCAGUCCCGAGGAGCGGGGGGAUUUGGCACACCCCAGAGAUACUCCCAGCGACUUCCCCCGUCCUGACUGCUGGCACUCAGGGACCCACUUAUCUCUUCCUGCAAGUCUUACGGGCAGUCCCAGAGCUGAGCUUAAGGCUGUCGAUCCUGUUACCAGAUCAGGUCCGAAAUUCUCAGGCACUGUCACACUGAGCCUGCUAGCAGUCAAAUGACAUGCUUCUGAAAAUGUCGCUCUCUUGUCUUUAUCCACAGGCUGUUCUCUUUCCCUGUCCUUGCUAUCUGGCUUGUCACACUGCCCCUGCAGCCUGCUCCUCUGCUCCUGCAUGACCGCCCUCCCCUGAAUUCCCACCUUAUCCACAAAUCCAGGCAGAGCUGAAUUCACUCCACAAACUGAAGAUACCCAAAGCUCCCGGAAGCGCUGCUGGAAAUCCCCUCCCACGUACACAAGAGCUCCUUGAGGACCAAGAAUAAACUUCUGAAGCAUUUUCUUUCUCUUAAAUCUUGUCUGCACAUGAUGAGGAUGCAGCUGCCAGCUUGACAAGUGGGAAAGAACCACUGCGAGGUGUGAGGUGCAGGGUGCCUCUGCCAGCGUGGGGAUACCUGGGGCAAUAGCAAAUAGAAAUAGCAAAAGCAACAGCUCUCUUACAGGAAUGGCAGCUAUUUCCACUACUGUGACCCAGGAUGAAAGUUUGGGUGGAUUGCUCCAUUCUCACUCUGCUGUGAAAAAUUCACAGGCAUCCAGGAUGCUUCAAAGACUGUUCAUAUGAGUGCGGAAAGCAGCAGAAAGGCAUCCACUCAUGGAGAAUGAAAAAGCUAAUGGCAGCAGAAAAUACUGUUUUAAUGAAUGCAAAGUGUCCAUGUGACUGGAAAGCCCUUAAAUGAAAAGGGUUAGUAAUUACCAACAAAUAAGUAAUACGAGGAAAAAUAUUCUCUGUGGUCUGGAAUGUUCAGUCAUAGCCUUUCAUCCAUCCUUCACGUAUUUAAAACUAAAUUGACUGAUUGCUAUUUUCUCUGUUAAGAAACUGGGAGUAAGGGAAGAGGCAGGAUAGGGCAUAACCCUUCAAGUCAGUGGAAUAUGAACCGAGACAGGCAAGAGGCAACGGUUCUUCAUCCCAUGCCAUGUUGCUAAACCUCAGAUUUGAAGUCUUACAGCAUAUGCUGUCAAACAUAGCACACAUUUGUUCUGCAGGAAGAGGCCCCUCAGUGUAUCAGAUCUCUCCCCUCCCAACAUGCACCCAGCAGUCUCCCCACCCAGGAGCAGCUCCAAGUGACAACCCUCAAACCUUCCCAUGGUUUCUUCCCUUGAUGUUAGCCAAAGCAAUGGUGGGGUGAAAUUGUCACCAGAGUUUUCCUUGGCUGCCUGGGGAGAGAAGGAGGGUUCAAGGGGGACAAGAGUUUGGACCAAGGACUGCUGGUCUAGACAGUCACUCUUUCCUCUCUGUAGCUUAGCUAAUAUUCAACCAUUGAAUAAACAAAGCCAUGCGACUGGUACGGAUUUUUAUUUGAUGAGGGAAUCAUUAGCAAGUGUAUGUCUUUCCAAGACCUCUCUUACCUGCAAAGCCACUUUGAGAUUGUGAGAAGGAUGCAUUUGUGUAUCUUGCUUAAUAAAAUGUCUGCCACA